UACGUAGGGGGCAAGCGUUGUCCGGAAUUAUUGGGCGUAAAGAGCGUGUAGGCGGCCAGAUAAGUCCGCUGUGAAAUCUCGAGGCUCAACUUCGAGCUGUCGGUGGAAACUAUCUGGCUAGAGUCCGGAAGAGGAGAAUGGAAUUCCUGGUGUAGCGGUGAAAUGCGCAGAUAUCAGGAAGAACACCCGUGGCGAAGGCGGUUCUCUGGGACGGUACUGACGCUGAGGAACGAAAGCCAGGGUAGCGAACGGG
rnacentral:rRNA from 1 species